CUGGGUACAUGAUGAAUAAAAAUCAAAUCACCAUCUUUCGGCUGAGCUCGUGAUGGAUUUGCUUUUUUUCUGAUAAAGCUG
rnacentral:snoRNA from 1 species